rnacentral:rRNA from 1 species
UAUAGAUGGAUCCGCGCUGCAUUAGCUAGUUGGUAAGGUAACGGCUUACCAAGGCAACGAUGCAUAGCCGACCUGAGAGGGUGAUCGGCCACACUGGAACUGAGACACGGUCCAGACUCCUACGGGAGGCAGCAGUAGGGAAUCUUCCGCAAUGGGCGAAAGCCUGACGGAGCAACGCCGCGUGAGUGAUGAAGGUCUUCGGAUCGUAAAACUCUGUUAUUAGGGAAGAACAUAUGUGUAAGUAACUGUGCACAUCUUGACGGUACCUAAUCAGAAAGCCACGGCUAACUACGUGCCAGCAGCCGCGGUAAUACGUAGGUGGCAAGCGUUAUCCGGAAUUAUUGGGCGUAAAGCGCGCGUAGGCGGUUUUUUAAGUCUGAUGUGAAAGCCCACGGCUCAACCGUGGAGGGUCAUUGGAAACUGGAAAACUUGAGUGCAGAAGAGGAAAGUGGAAUUCCAUGUGUAGCGGUGAAAUGCGCAGAGAUAUGGAGGAACACCAGUGGCGAAGGCGACUUUCUGGUCUGUAACUGACGCUGAUGUGCGAAAGCGUGGGGAUCAAACAGGAUUAGAUACCCUGGUAGUCCACGCCGUAAACGAUGAG